CUAGAUACAUAACAUAUUUUUAAAAUGAAAUAAGUAUCUUCAUAUUGUCUUUCUAAUUUGUAACAUUUGCCUUCUUGCAUCCUUUGCUUAUGGUGAAACAUCUGAACCUGAAGUAAACACUUCUAUCACAGAGGAACCAUUUUCGUCUACAACAACAGCAGUAAACAAUAUUACUUGUGAAAACCAUAAUAAUGACUGUAAAGCAUGUGUAGCUUACUCUGAGUGUUUUUAUUGUGGAACCGAUAAUAUAUGUCGGAGAAAGAUAACAGAUGCUAUCACUGGUGAUGAAUGUACUUUGAAAGAAAUCCACUAUUUAACAUGCAGAGGUAAAUAUAAUAUUUGUUAAUUUUUUAAUAUUAAUUUUAUUUUUAUUUUGUACAAGUUGUUAAAGCUAGUAUAAGAAUUGAAUUUCUGACUUAUUUGAUGUUUAAGAACACUAGUUUACGCAAGAGUUAAGGAAUUGUUAAUAAUUUUAGGUUAUACAAGUAAGAAAUAUAAUGAAACAAAUUAAAACUUUUCUUUUAAAAUGUGUUCUAAAACUUGAAAAAUCUGUGAACUUGUAAGGAGGAGAGUUUGCAGUUGUGAAAUUUCUUGGGAAAAAAUGCUUUGAUUAAUGCCAAUUUCUUGAUUAUUUUCUUUUUUACCCUGUACGAGGAAUGAUUUAUAAAGCAAAUAUUAUUAAUUCUUAAAAAAAAUUAAUCUUCAUCUUUCAAGUGAAAUAUUUAUUGAUUGAUUGCAUAACUUGAAUAGAUUCUAGUUUAUACAAUCUCUAGGCUUGCAUUUAUAUAGGAGA